CAGUUAUUAAGUGGCAAAGACCGGAUUUGAAUCAAGAUAUCUGAUUUUUAAAAUUCACCUGUUUCAAAGCGUUCUACUUCACCUAAGAAGUUAAUACACCUCACAACCAGAUAAUUCCUUCUUUUCAAUUAGACUGUGUCUGUAUCUGGGAUCAGUUGCGAAGCAGAAGUAUGACGUGACUAAGGCCACCGCUGGGUUAGGAUACCCCCAUCCAAGAUUGAGAGCUGUACUAGCCUGGCAUGCAGACAGCAGCUUUAGAAUCAGAUCUGCCUUCUGGCGGCUUCCCACCUAGGAGCCAUGGGACCUUUGUGAAGUCACCAAUUGUGCUGUGGAUGCUUCAUUUGUGAAGGAGAACAGGACUGCCUUGUGAAAUUACGGAUGAUGCUACUAAAACAUAUCAAUAAUUUGAA
rnacentral:lncRNA from 1 species